GAUGAACGCUAGCGGCAGGCUUAAUACAUGCAAGUCGAGGGGCAGCACAGAUAGCAAUAUUGGGUGGCGACCGGCAAACGGGUGCGGAACACGUACACAACCUUCCUUUUGGUGGGGGAUAGCCUUUGGAAACGGAGAUUAAUACCCCAUAAGAUAUUGUGACCGCAUGGUUAUGAUAUUAAAGAUUUAUUGCCAGAAGAUGGGUGUGCGUAUGAUUAGGUAGUUGGUGAGGUAAAGGCUCACCAAGCCGACGAUCAUUAACUGGUGUGAGAGCACGACCAGUCACACGGGCACUGAGACACGGGCCCGACUCCUACGGGAGGCAGCAGUAAGGAAUAUUGGUCAAUGGACGGAAGUCUGAACCAGCCAUGCCGCGUGGAGGAUGAAGGUCCUCUGGAUUGUAAACUUCUUUUAUAUGGGGCGAAAAAGGGCCAUUCUUGGUCGUCUGACGGUACCAGAUGAAUAAGCACCGGCUAACUCCGUGCCAGCAGCCGCGGUAAUAC
rnacentral:rRNA from 1 species